GACGAACGCUGGCGGCGUGCUUAACACAUGCAAGUCGAACGGAAGGGCCCUGCUUUUGUGGGGUGCUCGAGUGGCGAACGGGUGAGUAACACGUGAGUAACCUGCCCUUGACUUUGGGAUAACUUCAGGAAACUGGGGCUAAUACCGGAUAGGAGCUCCUGCUGCAUGGUGGGGGUUGGAAAGUUUCGGCGGUUGGGGAUGGACUCGCGGCUUAUCAGCUUGUUGGUGGGGUAGUGGCUUACCAAGGCUUUGACGGGUAGCCGGCCUGAGAGGGUGACCGGCCACAUUGGGACUGAGAUACGGCCCAGACUGCUACGGGAGGCAGAAGUGGGGAAUAUUGCACAAUGGGCGGAAGCCUGAUGCAGCAACGCCGCGUGCGGGAUGACGGCCUUCGGGUUGUAAACCGCUUUCGCCUGUGACGAAGCGUGAGUGACGGUAAUGGGUAAAGAAGCACCGGCUAACUACGUG
rnacentral:rRNA from 1 species